rnacentral:rRNA from 1 species
AUGGGGGAACAAACAGCAAACCUCACCGCCCUGAUGGAGAAGCUCUUGUCCAGAUUCGAUGAAGAGCAAGCUCUGGCGACCAAACGCGCGGAGGCACAGGCCACGUUCAACACGCACGUCUCCACCGAGCUGCAGAGCCUAUCCAAGCAGAUCGGGCUCACGCAGGCCGACGUGGAUGACGUGCGCAAGGCGACUUCUCCGACGGCUUCCUCCGCCAUGGCAUUGGCGUCGCAGGUGGACGACCCCUCCGCGGCAGGUUCCCGCACGCCGGCAGCCACCAACGGCAUCCAGCAGCCUGUGCCCCCUCCAGCUCCACCCGCCCAGCGCACCGCACCUCCUCAGAGUGCCCUGCCUAUUCCGCAGGCUUUUGGGAGCACGGCAGCCAUCGCCCGGCUCGCCAACGAAGGGCCUCCCCUGCUCACGAGGCCAGAUGCGCAGUUCAACUUGCAGCUGCCCAGCACACCGACGCCGCGGGAUGAGUACUCAGUCCGGCCACCCAAACACCACUUCCCCCGCUUCGAUGGUGAUGCGCCCCGCAUCUGGCUGGAUCGCUGCCUAGCAUACUUCGAGCUGUAUAGGGUGCCGCCGCACAACUAG